rnacentral:rRNA from 1 species
UACGAAGGGUGCAAACGUUGCUCGGAAUUAUUGGGCGUAAAGCGCACGUAGGCGACUCGGCAAGUCGGAUGUGAAAUCCCUCGGCUCAACCAAGGAAGUGCAUCCGAAACUGCAGAGCUUGAGUACUUAAGAGGAUCGCGGAAUUCCCGGUGUAGAGGUGAAAUGCGUAGAUAUAGGAAGGAAUACCAGUGGCGAAGGCGGCCUCCUGGAUCGAUACUGACGCUGAGGCGCGAAAGCGUGGGGAGCAAACAGG